rnacentral:rRNA from 1 species
GCAAGUCUGGUGCCAGCAGCCGCGGUAAUUCCAGCUCCAAUAGCGUAUAUUAAAGUUGUUGCAGUUAAAAAGCUCGUAGUUGAACCUUGGGUCUGGCUGACCGGUCCGCCUCACCGCGAGUACUGGUUCGGCUGGGCCUUUCCUUCUGGGGAACCUCAUGGCCUUCACUGGCUGUGGGGGGAACCAGGACUUUUACUGUGAAAAAAUUAGAGUGUUCAAAGCAGGCCUUUGCUCGAAUACAUUAGCAUGGAAUAAUAAAAUAGGACGUGCGGUUCUAUUUUGUUGGUUUCUAGGACCGCCGUAAUGAUUAAUAGGGAUAGUCGGGGGCGUCAGUAUUCAGCUGUCAGAGGUGAAAUUCUUGGAUUUGCUGAAGACUAACUACUGCGAAAGCAUUUGCCAA